rnacentral:rRNA from 1 species
AUUGAACGCCGGCGGCAGGCCUAACACAUGCAAGUCGAACGAGUGGCGGACGGGUGAGUAAUGUCUGGGAAACUGCCUGAUGGAGGGGGAUAACUACUUGAAACGGUAGCUAAUACCGCAUACCAUCGGAUUUGCCCAGAUGGGAUUAGCUAGUAGGUGGGGUACAGGCUCACCUAGGCGACGAUCCCUAGCUGGUCUGCGAGGAUGACAAGCCACACAGGAACUGAGACACGGUCCAGACUCCUAAGGGAGGCAGAAGUGGGGAAUAUUGAACAAUGGUCGAAAGCCGGAAGCAGCCAUGCCGCGUGUAUGAAGAAGGCCUUCGGGUUGUAAAGUACUUUCAGCGGGGAGGCGUUACCCGCAGAAGAAGCACCGGAUAACUCCGUGACAGCCGCCGCGGUAAUAC